AUGCAUCUCUGACAGACCUGGAGCAGUUAAUGUCUGCUGCUAAAGUUACCACUACCGAUGCAAGAAAAAGAAGGUCCUCUCAUUUUCUGUCUAAUUGUGGCAGCCAACAUUGAAUGAGGGAAUACAGGA
rnacentral:snoRNA from 1 species